GACGGAGGAUGCAAGCGUUAUCCGGAAUGAUUGGGCGUAAAGCGUCCGCAGGUGGCAGUUCAAGUCUGCUGUCAAAGACCGGGGCUUAACUUCGGAAAGGCAGUGGAAACUGAACAGCUAGAGUAUGGUAGGGGCAGAGGGAAUUCCUGGUGUAGCGGUGAAAUGCGUAGAUAUCAAGAGGAACACCUGAGGUGAAGACGGGUUGCUGGGCCGACACUGACGCUGAGUGCGCGAAAGCCAGGGGAGCAAACGGG
rnacentral:rRNA from 1 species